UGUCCAAUAACUCAGUUGGUAGAGCAUGAGACUAUUAAUCUCAGGGUUGUGGGUUUGAGCUCCAUGUUGGGCAA